rnacentral:rRNA from 1 species
GUGCAUCUGUUAUUGGUUAGUAACUCUUCGGAGUGAACUCCAUUCACUUACAAACACAAAGUCUAUGAAUGUAUACAAAUUAUAACAAAACAAAACUUUCAACAACGGAUCUCUUGGCUCUCGCAUCGAUGAAGAACGCAGCGAAAUGCGAUACGUAAUGUGAAUUGCAGAAUUCAGUGAAUCAUCGAAUCUUUGAACGCACCUUGCGCUCCUUGGUAUUCCGAGGAGCAUGCCUGUUUGAGUGUCAUGAAAUCUUCAACCCACCUCUUUCUUANUGAAUCUGGUGGUGCUUGGUUUCUGAGCGCUGCUCUGCUUCGGCUUANCUCGUUCGUAAUGCAUUANCAUCCGCAAUCGAACUUCGGAUUGACUUGGCGUAAUAGACUAUUCGCUGAGGAUUCUAGUCUCUGACUAGAGCCGGGUUUGGUUAAAGGAAGCUUCUAAUCCUAAAGUCUAUUUUUUGAUUAGAUCUCAAAUCAGGUAGGACUACCCGCUGAAACUUAAGCAUAUCAAUAAGCGGAGGAAACC